ensembl:lncRNA
AUGGAGGAGCCUGAGGAAUACAUUGUAGAAGAAGAGGUGCACUAUAUUUCUGAGGAAGUGGAAGCUGAACCAGCUGAAGUGCCUGAGAAGAAAAUCAUCCCCAAACCGAAAAUUCCUGCUAAAAUAGAGGAGCCUCCACCAGCUAAAGGUACAAUUCUGUCUCAAAGAAAUGGGAUGCCAUUUGUCUUCAUAGCUAUGAUAAUGCUUUUAGUUUGAGUAACUGCCUCAGUUUUGCCAACUUAUGUGUAAACAUUUUAACUGACUGUAGUCGUUACUGUUUGUAUAAAUGUGUGAUCUUUCAUAAAGUGAGCUCUUUGCCCCCAAAGAAUGGCACUUCUUCUGCAAUGCAGACUAAUAUUCUUAAACCUCAUAUUUCUAAAGUUCCUGAAGCACCGAAGAAAAUUGUGCCAGAAAAGAAAAUUCCUGCUGCAGUUCCCAAAAAGGAAAAGGUGCCGCCCACCAAAGGUACAUGGGUUUUCCUUUAUUCUUAGGUAAUGCCUGUGUUUAAAUCUUAAAUUGAUACAUUCUUCAAAUUUUUAUGACAUUAACCAGAAAUAAGUGUGCCUGUUCAGUGUUUUUCACACUUGUGUUGUGUCUGACCAUGUUGUGCAAUGUCUUUUAAGUGCCAGAAGAACCAAAGAAGCCAGUUCCUGAAAAAAGGGCUCCUCCCAAAGUGGCUAAGAUAGAAGAGCCUCCUCCCGCCAAAGGUAAUGAAGUCCCCAGCACGGCAACUAGAAACGUGUCUUGUCUUUCGUCUUCUCACUACUGUCCUUGACUCACCUUCUACAUGGAGGUUAUUGGUGUAUGUUGGCCACAGUGAUGUAUUAUUGCCUUGUCUAUGUGGAUUAUGACUCACUUGUUGUGAAGCUUAUUAGUGUGUACCUUGUAAAAAUUAUAUUCUAAAAUCACAAUAGCCUCUGGCUAAUAUACUUAAUAUAACUGAUGUUGAAGCUGAAACUCCACAAUACUUUGGCCACCUGAUGUGAAGAACUGAUGCAUUUGAAAAGACCCUGAUGCUGGGAAAGAUUGAAGGCGGGAGGAGAAGGGGACAACAGAGGAUGAGAUGGCUGGAUGGCAUCUCUAACUCGAUGGACAUGAGUUUGAGUAAACUCUGGGAGUUGGUGAUGGACAGGGAGGCCUGGCGUCCUGUACUCCAUGGGGUCGCUAAGAGUCAGACAUGACUGAGCGACUGAACUGAACUGAAUAUACUUAAUACACUUUUUAAAAUUCCACUUUAAGUAAUACAACUCCAUAAUCCUAAAAUUAUCUUUCAAGUGACUGAGAGGCACAUGCAAAUUACCCAGGAAGAAAAAGUUCAUGUUGCUGUUACUAAAAAAGUGGAACCUCCAAGACCAAAAGGUACAUGGGGCCUUUUGAUACCCGGAAUGUUCUGCUUACCCUCUUCUCUUUACCAAAUACACUAAAAAUGGGUGUUGGUUUUUUGUUGUCAUUGUUAUCAUUGUUUUCUGUUUGAAAUCAUGAAAAUGUCAAGUCUUUUAUGUUUGAGUUGCUAUUACACGACUACCAUUUUGUGGUUUGAAUGAGGAAAACAGUUCUUUAAAGUGAAAUCUGUCUUUAAAGUGCCUGAGGAACCCAAGAGAGCUGUUCCAGAAGAGAAAUUUCCAAAACUCAAGCCUAGAAAGGAGGAGGAACCACCAGCGAAAGGUACACCAACUUUUCCAAAAAUCAAAAUAAGCUUAUAAGUAUUGAAACUCAUCUAGUGGAAUUGAGAUCCUUAGACAAAAUAAUUUAUGUAUUACAAAGUAAUUAAUAUACAUAUGCUACUCCAUAUCAUCUCAAAACUAAACAUUUCUGAUACCAGAAAAUGUACUCAAAUCUCUUUCUUCUCAAAAAAACAAAAACAAAAAAUGAAACCUCACCGAAGCAUAUGUAGAUAAUUUCCCUUAAAAUGUACUUGUCUUUUAAUGUUUU